ACGACGCUGGCGGCGUGCUUAACACAUGCAAGGUCGAACGGGGCGAAGUGAUAGCUUGCUAUUAUGGAGCCUAGUGGCAAACGGGUGAGUAACGCGUAGGCAACCUGCCCUUCAGAUGGGGACAACACCUCGAAAGGGGUGCUAAUACCGAAUGACGUUUCCUAGUCGCAUGACCUGGAAACCAAAGGCCGGGCAACCGGUCACUGAAGGAUGGGCCUGCGUCUGAUUAGCUAGUUGGUGGGGUAACGGCCCACCAAGGCGACGAUCAGUAGCCGGUCUGAGAGGAUGAACGGCCACAUUGGAACUUAGACACGGUCCAGACUCCUACGGGAGGCAGCAGUAGGGAAUUUUCGGCAAUGGGGGAAACCCUGACCGAGCAAUGCCGCGUGAAUGAUGAAGGUCUUCGGAUUGUAAAAUUCUGUUGUUAGGGACGAAUGAUACGACUAGGAAAUGAGUUGUAUUUGACGGUACCUGAUUAGAAAGCCCCGGCUAACUAUGUG
rnacentral:rRNA from 1 species